GAAGGUAUAGCUCAAGUGGUAGAGCACAUGCUUAGCAUGCACAAGGUCCUGGGUUCAAUCCCCAGUAUCGCCU
rnacentral:tRNA from 1 species